GGCCGGGUAGCUCAGUUGGUAGAGCAGCGGACUGAAAAUCCGCGUGUCGACGGUUCAAGUCCGCCUCCGGCCACCA
rnacentral:tRNA from 1 species